UGGAUAUAACAUCUUCCUUUGACGUCAGCUGAUAUCUCUUUAUAACCCAACAGCUCUUUUAAGAGCUAAAAAACUUAGGCGCAAUGCUAUUCUGCGCCCCCUGGAGGAAGGUAAGUCAACUGCUACUGUUUUAGCUGAAUUUAGGGUUUUGCUGAAUAGAGAACAGGUACAGAUAAAGUAUAGAAUGUAAUAGACUCUUUCUCUUCUCCUUCAGCCACAGGCGGAAUCCAGAACCCUCUCCGAGACUUAUGAGGUGAGUAGAAAGGAGGGUAAAACACUCGCCGCUACUGCCGGAAGUGAGACAUGUUUUGUACCCUGGGGAAUAUUAUGUUAUCAAUAAAAUCCUUCUUUUUUCUAUUUUAUUUUCCAGCCUCCUGAUGGUCGGCUGACCAAGGAUGUGCUUGUUGGAGUGGGCGGCACUGGAGACGUCUACAAGGUAAGUUACCAACCAAUUCCUAGAGAGUAGGGGAACUGAACAAGAUUGUGAUCACUACACACAAUCACACAAUGAUUUAGGCAGACAUAUCAAGCUUCUGGUUUGGGGGCUGCAUUAGACCCUCUCUUUCCUACUUGUAUAUAAGUCAACCUUUCUGUCUGUAUUACAGGGACGACACCAUCGUAGAGGCGUGGUAGCGGUGAAGAUCGCCAACAUCAGCCGAGAUGAAGAGUCAGUCUGCAGGGAGCUGAAGUUUCUCCAGCAGUUCGGAGGCCACAAGAACAUCGCCUCUUACUAUGGAGCCUACUACAGGGCUCCACUCACGGAGUGCUCAUCGGAGCUCUUGGAAGUAAGAAAUGAUUUACUGUAUCGUGUUCAUUCCUCUUGUGCCAAAACAAUCUCCACUGGAAGUGACAGAAUACAUGACCUGAAAUAAUUUCUAUAUAUUGCAGAUUGUUCUUGAAUACUGUGGUGGAGGCUCUCUGUACAACCUCAUCAGUAAGACCAAUGGCCAAUCCCUGAAGGAGACCUGGAUUGGCUAUGUCUGCAAGGAGGUUUUAAAGGUAAGGCCAGAUUUACCCCUUAAGGACUCUUCUUUAAUUGCAU